rnacentral:rRNA from 1 species
UACGGAGGGAGCUAGCGUUGUGCGGAAUUACUGGGCGUAAAGCGCACGUAGGCGGCUUUUUGAGUCAGAGGUGAAAUCCCGGGGCUCAACCCCGGAACUGCCUUUGAAACUGGAGAGCUAGAAUCUUGGAGAGGCGAGUGGAAUUCCGAGUGUAGAGGUGAAAUUCGUAGAUAUUCGGAAGAACACCAGUGGCGAAGGCGACUCGCUGGACAAGUAUUGACGCUGAGGUGCGAAAGCGUGGGGAGCAAACAGG